GAGAAAGGAAAACACCGUGAGCCUCAGACC
rnacentral:piRNA from 1 species